GAUGAACGCUGGCGGCGUGCCUAAUACAUGCAAGUCGAGCGAACGGACGAGAAGCUUGCUUCUCUGAUGUUAGCGUCGGACGGGUGAGUAACACGUGGAUAACCUACCUAUAAGACUGGGAUAACUUCGGGAAACCGUAGCUAAUACCGGAUAAUAUUUUGAACCGCAUGGUUCAAAAGUGAAAGACGGUCUUGCUGUCACUUAUAGAUGGAUCCGCGCUGCAUUAGCUAGUUGGUAAGGUAACGGCUUACCAAGGCAACGAUGCAUAGCCGACCUGAGAGGGGGAUCGGCCACACUGGAACUGAGACACGGUCCAGACUCCUACGGGAGGCAGCAGUAGGGAAUCUUCCGCAAUGGGCGAAAGCCUGACGGAGCAACGCCGCGUGAGUGAUGAAGGUCUUCGGAUCGUAAAACUCUGUUAUUAGGGAAGAACAUAUGUGUAAGUAACUGUGCACAUCUUGACGGUACCUAAUCAGAAAGCCACGGCUAACUACGUG
rnacentral:rRNA from 1 species